UGAGUAUAAUUUAAAGUAGGGCCUGCCCACUGAUUUAUUGAAGGGCCGCAGUAUUUUGACUGUGCAAAGGUAGCAUAAUCAUUAGUUUUUUAAUUGAAAACUUGUAUGAAUGGUUUGAUGAGAAAACAACUUUCUUUAUUUAAAUUUUAAAAAAAUUUAUUUUUAAGUUAAAAAGCUUAAAUAUUUUUAAUAGACGAGAAGACCCUAUAGAGUUUAAUUUUUAUGAAUAAUUAAAUUUUUAGAAUUAAUAAAUUUUAUUAUUAUAAAAAAUUUAGUUGGGGUGAUUAAAAAAUUAAAAUAACUUUUAUUUAUUUUUAACAUUAAUUAAUGAAUAUAAUC
rnacentral:rRNA from 1 species